AUCAAUUAUAAUCCCGAGUAGUAUUUUAACACAAAUUAUUAAAUAUGUGACGGAACGGUUAAAAGAGGGGCGAAAGAUACCAGAGGGACAUUCAAACUCAUAAAUCGAAAAUAAACUGACAACGCCAUGGCUAAAAAAGAAAAAGACAAACAGAUAAACAAUAGUACACAAAACACAAUUUAAAGUUCGGGUAAUCUAGACUAUAACGCCUUCUGAAAUGCGAUAUACAUUUGACUUAAAUACUUUAUUUUCUACUUUAAUUUGCAAGCUUAAAAACUUUUUUUUUCGCUGUCUGUUUAAUCCAAAGAAAGAUAAUUCCCUUAUGGCAAAAACGUCGCCACUCCACUUGACCAUAGCAAAACAAUAUAGACCAUAAUUGGGCUAAAUUAUCGACAACGUAUCGUUAGAUCAUAUAUUUAAACAAGAUCGACGUCGAACAGCAAAAUCGCACGAAGGUAAUUUUAAAAGAAUGGACAAACACAAUCAAAUUACAGGAAUCCGAACCCUGUGAUUAUAUAUAUCCUUCAGGUCUUGCUAUUUUGUGUUGUCUACCGUUUGGACUGUGUGCCAUGUGGGCUGCAGACAGUGCAAACAAUGACAGGAAAAGCGGAAAUUAUGAAGACGCUAGAGAGAAGAAUCAUACGGCUAUUGGUUUGAUUAUUGCAUCUUAUAUUUUUGGAGUUAUUGGUGCCUUCAUUAUAGUAGCGAUGCAUCUAACAUAAUUUAGACCAUCUGGUGGAGAUAACAGCAACCUUUAUAAUAUUAGUAUUUUGUUUUUGUUUUGAACACUUUAGUUUAUGCAUUUUGUUUCAUAUUCAUGUUUGAUAAUACUAUAUCUCCUAAUAAGCAACACGAUGAAGAUCUAAACAUAAUCAUUUUUUUAAAAGUAUAAUACGUUUAACUAACGCUCUUUAAAUAUACUUAUUUAUAAGCAUCGUACCGUAGAUAAAGUUUUUAUUGUUUAUUAUCUAUAAUGAGUGUAAAAAUUAAAUUAGUUUUUAACAUGUAGACAUUUAUAAGUGCUUUUUCAAUUACAUCACAUCGUUAUAUUA